rnacentral:rRNA from 1 species
CCUACGGGUGGCAGCAGUGAGGAAUAUUGGUCAAUGGGCGGAAGCCUGAACCAGCCAAGCAGCGUGCGGGAUGAAGGCCCUACGGGCCGUAAACCGCUUCUGCACGGGGAUAACACACUCUACCUGAGGAGGUCUGCAGGUACCGUGCGAAUAAGGGCCGGCCAAUUCUGUGUCAGCAGCCGCGGGAAUACGGAAGGCCCGAGCGUUAUCCGGAUUCAUAGGGCUUAAAGGGAGCGUAGGCGGGCGUCCAAGCCAGCUGUAAAAUCGCGCGGCUCAACCGCGCCCCGCAGUUGAAACUGGACGCCUUGAGUGCACAACAGGCAGGCGGAAUUCGUGGUGUAGCGGUGAAAUGCAUAGAUAUCACGAGGAACCCCGAUGGCGAAGGCAGCCUGCCGGGGUGCGACUGACGCUGAGGCUCGAAGGUGCGGGUAUCAAACAGGAUUAGAUACCCGUGUAGUC